GAUGAACGCUGGCGGCGUGCCUAAUACAUGCAAGUCGAGCGAACGGACGAGAAGCUUGCUUCUCUGAUGUUAGCGGCGGACGGGUGAGUAACACGUGUAUAACCUACCUAUAAUACUGGGAUAACUUCGGGAAACCGGAGCUAAUACCGGAUAAUAUUUUGAACCGCAUGGUUCAAAAGUGAAAGACGGUCUUGCGGUCACUUAUAGAUGGAUCUGCGCUUCAUUAGCUAGUUGGUAAGUUAACGGCUUACCAAGGCAACGAUGCAUAGACGACCUGAGAGGCGGAUAGCCCACCCUGGAGCUGAGACACGGUCCAGACUCCUACGGGAGGGAGCAGUAGGGAAUGUGACGCAAUGGGAGAAAGCCUGACGGAGCAACGGCGAGUGAGUGAUGAAGGUCUUCGGAUCGUAAAACUCUGUUAUUAGGGAAGAACAUAUGUGUAAGUAAAUGUGCACAUAUUGACGGUAACUAAUAAGAAAGCCACGGCUAACUACGUG
rnacentral:rRNA from 1 species